UCUACCUGCAGGGUCACAGCAACUUUGUCACCUGGAACUAGCCUGGAAAUGAUUUGUGCCUUGGGGAAUGCAGCAGGUACAUUUAAGACUCAGCUGCUUGCCAGUUUGACUCUGCCAGGGCAACAAAAUGGUGUAAUGAUAUGCAAAAAUUUAAGAAUUCCAAGGCACACAUCAUGAGGUAAAACUUGCUUCUAACCCCAAAUAAAAAGUUAACUUAACCUUUGAAUGAACACCUCUCAUUUGCUGCUUACAGAUCUGAUUUUACCCCUACUAUAGUCAGUAUGAUUUUGCUACUGAUAUUAGCCCUAAGUCCCCCCAGUCCCUCAACACACCUCAAUCUUUCCUAUGCAAGAGCUCGUUUUGAUGUGCACUUUAUGCUUUGUCAAAGUUACUUUAUAAAAACAAAAUAAUCCAGGAAACACAUGCUACUUUAGAAAUACGAUAUUUAUGCUGUAUUAGUAAAUCCUGCAUCUGUAUGAGUCUGCACCACCCUGAAUUCAUUGGUCUGCUUUUUUUUUUGUUGUUGUUGUUUUUUUUGUUUUGUUUCCACAGUGUCUUUUAAUAAUGUAGAGGUCACAAAGUAUUCUCUAUGUUCUGUCUUGUAUCAACCCAAAGCACAUUUAAAUAAGCUCCCUUAAGUUCCAGAAAGAGACAGAAUCUGGUGAUGAAGAUCACACCCUAAUAAAUGUAUUACAUACCAAAGAUGCCAUGUCUGAUCUGUAAAUCAAGGUACUUGUACACAA